rnacentral:rRNA from 1 species
UACGUAGGGGGCAAGCGUUGUCCGGAAUCAUUGGGCGUAAAGCGCGUGUAGGCGGCUCGGUAAGUCUGCUGUGAAAGUCCAGGGCUCAACCCUGGGAUGCCGGUGGAUACUGUCGAGCUCGAGUCCGGAAGAGGCGAGUGGAAUUCCUGGUGUAGCGGUGAAAUGCGCAGAUAUCAGGAGGAACACCGAUGGCGAAGGCGGCGAUCUGGGUAGAUACUGACGCUGAGGUGCGAAAGCGUGGGGAGCAAACAGG